rnacentral:rRNA from 1 species
UACAGAGGUCUCAAGCGUUGUUCGGAUUCAUUGGGCGUAAAGGGUGUGUAGGUGGCGCGCUAAGUCGGGUGUGAAAUUUCGGAGCUUAACUCCGAAACUGCAUUCGAUACUGGCGUGCUUGAGGACUGGAGAGGAGACUGGAAUUCAUGGUGUAGCAGUGAAAUGCGUAGAGAUCAAUGAGGAAGACCAGUGGCGAAGGCGGGUCUCUGGACAGUUCCUGACACUGAGACACGAAGGCCAGGGGAGCGAAACGGG